UCAAGGACAACAAGAAGAUGCCAGAAAGUCGGCUAAAAAAGUCAGACCCAAUAAAUACAUCUGGUGGCAAGGCCAAAAAGAAGUGGUCCAAAGGCAAAGUUUGGGACAAGCUGAACAAUCUCAUCCUGUUUGACAAAGCUACAUAUGACAAGCUCUGUAAGGAAGUUUCCAACUACAAGCUUAUUACUCUAGCCGUGGUCUCUGCGAGACUGAAGAUUCGAGGUUCUUGCCCAUGGCAGCCCUUUGAGAGCUCCUUAGUAAAAGACUGUUCAAGCUGGUUUCAAAGCACAGAGCCACUCACACCAGAAACACAAAGGGUGGA
rnacentral:lncRNA from 1 species